CUGGAUAACCCGUCAGUGUUGCCGUUUAGUUUUCCAGGGCGGUAGUGGAUGGUAAAGUCAAAAGGCUGCAGCGCUAAACUCCAGCGAAGCAAUCUGGCAUUGUUUCUGGCUACCCUGUUAAGCCACGCUAACGGGUUUUGAUCUGUUAGUAAGGAAAAGGGUUGGCCAUACAAAUAUGGCUGUAGCUUUUAAAGGGCCCACACCACAGCCAGGCAUUCUUUUUCAAUGGCGGCAUAGCUUACUUCUCGUGAUAGUAGUUUUCUGCUUAAGUAAGCCACCGGAUGUUUG